rnacentral:rRNA from 1 species
UACAGAGGGUAGCGACGACGGUUAAUACGGACUUUAACGGUAGGGCGGUAAAGCGUGCGUAGGCGGCUUUUUAAGUUCGGAUGUGAAAUCCCCUGAGCUUAACUUAGGAAUUGCAUUCGAUACUGGGAAGCUAGAGUAUGGGAGAGGAUGGUAGAAUUUCCAGGUGUAGCGGUGAAAUGCGUAGAGAUCUGGAGGAAUACCGAUGGCGAAGGCAGCCAUCUGGCCUAAAUACUGACGCUGAGGUACGAAAGCAUGGGGAGCAAACAGGAUUAGAUACCCCUGUAGU